AGCUAUGCGCAGUGGCAGUAAUCAUAACCAAUGAAGUUAAUCUGAAGGUGUGAUUAUUGCUAGUUGAAAAUCCACUCCUCUCCCCCUUCCUGGUGGUGAGAUGGUACAGUACUACUGUAGACAGC
rnacentral:snRNA from 1 species